AUAUAUAUAUAUAUAUUCUUACAUUUAAUUAAUCUUUAUAUUGUUUAGGAUGAUUAAUUUAACAUAAAAUAAUGAAGUAUAUUUUUCAAUUAUUUGCUAUAUUUAAUUAAAUGUUAAAUGAAUUAGAUAAUCCGGUUAAUUUGGUCUUUUGCUCUAAAAGGCAAAUGUGAAUUACUUUUUUUUUGUUGGUUUAUCCAGAUUAAAAAUUUUGGGCUUUAAUAAAUUAUUAGACAAACAUGUAAAGAUUUUUAAAAAAUUUUGUAGGACAAGAGUAUAAUGAAUCACAUAAAUAAAAUUACACUAAAUGAAUGCACGCACACACACAUUAUAAUUAUUUUGCUUUGAAUUAAUACCAUUUUUUAUUUUAAUUGCCAGUGCCAUAAAUAAAAUUAUACUAAAUGAAUGCACGCACACACACAUUGCUUUGUAUCCUAAAUAAAAUGUUCAAUCUUUAUAUUUCAUUUGUGGUUUUGAUUAUUUGGUGGUUCGUUGAUCCAACAUUCACAAGAGUGAAGGUCAUUGGAUCAAUAGAGGGAUUCUACACUAGAGGCUAUAACCUUGGGAUCAUUUUUUAAUUUGGGAGACGUUGUACCUAGUCCUUUAAAUAAAAGAGAUCUUGUAUUCGCAAUAGAGGAAUUAUACGGAGAGACGACAUAUUGUUGACUUAUAAGUCUUGCUUGAGAGAGGAAGCAAAAGACGUGUGGUGCAUGUGAACUAUUCAUUUGGUGAGGUUAUAAUAAGAUGUCGGCAAUUACUAAAAGGGAAUCUCAUAUUGUGUAAUGUUCCAAUAAUUAGUAAUCUCUUAAAUUUAAUGAAUUCCUUGAAAAAAACACUCCUUAAUAAAAUGUAACUCCUAUCUUGAACUUUUACUUUCGUUACAUGAAGUUAUAUCAACUAGAUUAUUUUUUCGGUUAACAAAAACAUCUUAGUUAUAUAACAAAUGAUAUGUUGAUAAUGCAAGACUUAGAUUUAUGCCUUAGUGCCAUCAUGAUUCCAUGAUUGAUGUGAAAGUUUUAUUUAGUGUGAAAUAUAUAAAAUUUAUCAUGAAACUCUUGUAUGAUGAAAAUUA
rnacentral:lncRNA from 1 species